rnacentral:rRNA from 1 species
UACCUCAUAUUAUAGUACCUCCGCAUGGAGGAACUAUUAAAGUCACAACAGUAAAAGAUGAGCAUGCGUCCCAUUAGCUAGUUGGUAAGGUAACGGCUUACCAAGGCUACGAUGGGUAGGGGUCCUGAGAGGGAGAUCCCCCACACUGGUACUGAGACACGGACCAGACUCCUACGGGAGGCAGCAGUGAGGAAUAUUGGUCAAUGGGCGCAAGCCUGAACCAGCCAUGCCGCGUGCAGGAUGACGGUCCUAUGGAUUGUAAACUGCUUUUAUACAGGAAGAAACACUCGGACGUGUCCGAGCUUGACGGUACUGUAGGAAUAAGGAUCGGCUAACUCCGUGCCAGCAGCCGCGGUAAUACGGAGGAUCCAAGCGUUAUCCGGAAUCAUUGGGUUUAAAGGGUCCGUAGGCGGCUUAAUAAGUCAGUGGUGAAAUCCCUACGCUUAACGUAGGAACGGCCAUUGAUACUGUUAGGCUUGAAUUAUUAGGAAGUAACUAGAAUAUGUAGUGUAGCGGUGAAAUGCUUAGAGAUUACAUGGAAUACCAAUUGCGAAGGCAGGUUACUACUAAUGGAUUGACGCUGAUGGACGAAAGCGUGGGUAGCGAACAGGAUUAGAUACCCUGGUAGUCCACGCCGUAAACGAUGGAUACUAGCUGUUGGGAGCAAUCUCAGUGGCUAAGCGAAAGUGAUAAGUAUCCCACCUGGGGAGUACGUUCGCAAGAAUGAAACUCAAAGGAAUUGACGGGGGCCCGCACAAGCGGUGGAGC